UACUCGGCUCUGCCAGUCUUUCA
rnacentral:miRNA from 1 species